GUAGAUGUAUCUUAAAGGUAAAGAAUUAUAUUUACAUUGUAAAAGAUAUUGGUUCAAAUCCAAUCAUCUACU
rnacentral:tRNA from 1 species